rnacentral:rRNA from 2 species
AAACCAACAGGGAUUGCCCUAGUAACGGCGAGUGAAGCGGCAACAGCUCAAAUUUGAAAUCUGGCUCUCGGGCCCGAGUUGUAAUUUGUAGAGGAUGAUUUUGGCGCGGUGCCUUCCGAGUUCCCUGGAACGGGACGCCUUAGAGGGUGAGAGCCCCGUACGGUUGGACACCAAGCCUCUGUAAAUCUCCUUCGACGAGUCGAGUAGUUUGGGAAUGCUGCUCUAARUGGGAGGUAAAUUUCUUCUAAAGCUAAAUACCGGCCAGAGACCGAUAGCGCACAAGUAGAGUGAUCGAAAGAUGAAAAGCACUUUGAAAAGAGGGUUAAAUAGCACGUGAAAUUGUUGAAAGGGAAGCAUUUACUACCAGACCUYUGCCCUGCGGAUCAUGUGGUGUUCUCACCGCUGCACUUCGCUUGGUUUAGGCCAGCAUCGGUUUUUGUAGGGGGAUAAAAGCYUUAGGAACGUAGCUCCCUCGGGAGUGUUAUAGCCUUUUGCAUAAUACCCUUACGGGGACCGAGGACCGCGCUUYGGCAAGGAUGCUGGCAUAAUGGUAGUCAAUGACCCGUCUUGA